UUUAUUUGAUAUCCUCUAGAGCUACACAUGGACAUAAUGAAUUACAUGAAAACAAAUGUCUAAAGAGCAUCCUUUGAUAAAAACUCGUUACUUCUAACCGUUCGAGCAUUGCAUAGCUCAUCGACACAAUCUCCUCGUUCAAAAACAGCAGCAGCCCCCAUACCUGUGCCUAUGCACAUUGAGAUUACUCCAAAGCGGCAG
rnacentral:misc_RNA from 1 species